AGUUUUCCCGGCACCAUUUGCUGAAGAGACUCUUUUUGUCAGAUAUUCUUUCCUGCUUUGUCAAAAGUUAGCUGGCGGUACAUCUGUGGGUAAACUGGGUUCUCUAGUCUGUUGCAUUGAUCCAUGAGUGACUGUUCUUGUGCCAGUACCAUACUGUCUUGACGAUCACAGCUUUGUAGUAUAGCUUGAAGUCUGGGAUUGUGAUGC